rnacentral:lncRNA from 1 species
AAUAAUUUUUAAUCAAGUCCUACUUUAAUCUUAAUUAAAAUCUUAAUAGACCUUAAUUAAAUCCUAGUUCAAAUCCUAAAUAAAUCAUAAAUCAAACCUUAGACAAAUCCUAAAUUUUAAACCAAAUCCUAAACAAAUUCUAAAUACUAAAUCAAAUCUUAGAAAAAUUCUAAAUCCUAAACUAAACCUUAGAUAAAUCCUAAAUUCUAAACCAAAUCAUAAAUAAAUCUUAAAUCCUAAAUCAAAUUCUAAAAAAAUCCUAAAUCCUAAAUCCUAAAUCAAAUCUUUAUUAAAACCUAAUUAAUUCAAAUCAAUCCUAAAGU